rnacentral:lncRNA from 1 species
AUGGCCAAUAUUUCUUCCAUGCUUACCUGGCAAACAAAUCUGGGAUCGUGGAAAAUACGGGAAAAUCUCUGUGUCGUUUCUGGAGAACAAUACACAUCAAAUUUCACCACCAGUGUCCAUAGCAAGUCAAAAAUGAUGCAGUGGAGAAUGUUGCUUCAACCAACAGGUCUGUUUAUUGGCGGAGAUACCUGGUACCCCUUCAGAGUGGCUGUGGGUAGCAGAUUGUGCAGUACAGUGCCAGUGGGUAACAUUCCCUUUCUAUUGUGUUUGGAGCAUAGUCUUUCUGAUUGUAUUACUUCCUCACAUGUAAUUUGACCAACUCUAAUUGUCCCCCAAAUAUUUGGGGUCAUUUUCUCAAGGACACUAUUUCACUUCUUACUUACCAUGACAAUGUUACAACUGAGUAGAAGUCUAGAAUUUUAAUGAGCGUUGUAGAGUCCACUACCUCUUGGAGAGCUGAACAGACUGAUGCACUAUGGGGCUUUAGUCUGCAAACACAAGAAUCAAAU